ACAUGCAAGUGAAUACUUCUCACUCAGGAAAAGUUUUGCCAGCCGGGCAUCCCCCUUAAGUAUCCAUCGGCUGCAUUUCAAGGACCUCCAGGACUUACUGGCUACCCUGGACCCCAGCCUGGCUAUCCAGUUCUGCCAGCCAGCUAUUCAGGUGCUGGACCAGCUGGCUUUUUUGUCCAAAGUCAGCCAGUAUAUAAUCAGCCUGGUGGACCUGCAGGGGCACCAUGGAUGCCAGCACCACCACCUCCACUGAACUGUCUACCUGGAUUAGAAUAUUUAAGUCAGGAAUACAGUUCUCAUAGAGGCAGAAACUCACAAGCAUGGGUAUGGAUCUCUGAAUCUAGUAAGAAGAAGUGCAUUUUGAGGAGAUAGCCCCAUUCUGGGUUCUGCUGGUGAAGGACGGGGCAGGGUCUCCACUACAAUGCCAUACUGAAGAGAUGAAAUACGAAUCGUCCCCUGGUCACAGCUGCUCUCCAAGCCCUGGGCUCCCAGGCAGCAGUAGCCGGUGGUGCCGUCCAGAGUCCUCACUGUUCCUCCCAAAUGUGGGCUCCAGACAGUCGUCACAGAAGAUGCACAUCAUAGUGACUCGAUGUCACUAUGGCAGUUAUUUGAGAACUUCCCAUUCCAAUGACAUCAGCAGCACCAAGAAUGAGAAAGUGAAGGAAGUGUUUUCCUGGCAGAGCUCAUCUCCGGUGAAAAGAUCAAAACCUCGGAGGGUACCGACUCUUUUAAAGGGAACUCGAGACUCCAGAUGGAGGAGCCGCCUGGAUGAGAUGAGUCGGCCAAUGUUCUCCAUGUCUCCUCUGCAGCCUGGAGCCCAGCUGCCCCACAAAGCAUCACCGAGAUGGCUUCACUGUCUUAGGGCCCAGGAUGGAGCCAGAGAUAGGAAAUGGGAAACGAUCUCUCCUGGGCUGGUCUGUCUGCCUGUGCCUUCCUGCCAGUGGGGCCUGUCUGGGAUCCAGGGUUCCCUGCCAUGGGAC